AGAGUUUGAUCCUGGCUCAGGAUGAACGCUAGCUACAGGCUUAACACAUGCAAGUCGAGGGGCAGCAUGGUCUUAGCUUGCUAAGGCUGAUGGCGACCGGCGCACGGGUGAGUAACACGUAUCCAACCUGCCGUCUACUCUUGGCCAGCCUUCUGAAAGGAAGAUUAAUCCAGGAUGGGAUCAUGAGUUCACAUGUCCGCAUGAUUAAAGGUAUUUUCCGGUAGACGAUGGGGAUGCGUUCCAUUAGAUAGUAGGCGGGGUAACGGCCCACCUAGUCAACGAUGGAUAGGGGUUCUGAGAGGAAGGUCCCCCACAUUGGAACUGAGACACGGUCCAAACUCCUACGGGAGGCAGCAGUGAGGAAUAUUGGUCAAUGGGCGAUGGCCUGAACCAGCCAAGUAGCGUGAAGGAUGACUGCCCUAUGGGUUGUAAACUUCUUUUAUAAAGGAAUAAAGUCGGGUAUGCAUACCCGUUUGCAUGUACUUUAUGAAUAAGGAUCGGCUAACUCCGUGCCAGCAGCCGCGGUAAUACGGAGGAUCCGAGCGUUAUCCGGAUUUAUUGGGUUUAAAGGGAGCGUAGAUGGAUGUUUAAGUCAGUUGUGAAAGUUUGCGGCUCAACCGUAAAAUUGCAGUUGAUACUGGAUGUCUUGAGUGCAGUUGAGGCAGGCGGAAUUCGUGGUGUAGCGGUGAAAUGCUUAGAUAUCACGAAGAACUCCGAUUGCGAAGGCAGCCUGCUAAGCUGCAACUGACAUUGAGGCUCGAAAGUGUGGGUAUCAAACAGGAUUAGAUACCCUGGUAGUCCACACGGUAAACGAUGAAUACUCGCUGUUUGCGAUAUACGGCAAGCGGCCAAGCGAAAGCGUUAAGUAUUCCACCUGGGGAGUACGCCGGCAACGGUGAAACUCAAAGGAAUUGACGGGGGCCCGCACAAGCGGAGGAACAUGUGGUUUAAUUCGAUGAUACGCGAGGAACCUUACCCGGGCUU
rnacentral:rRNA from 1 species